CUAGCCCCUCCUUGACAUUUUCAGAUUGCCAGUGUCACUGCUCUCAUGCUGUGGGGCCAUCACUAAGGGCAGGAAGGGUUACUUGAGAACAAGCAGAAGGACACUCCAUAGUUGAUCCGAUAACGAGAUGUCCACUAGAGCCAACGAAAAGAAGCAAAGAAAAAAGAUUCACACAGAGCCCUCUCUCAGAAGUGACCCCCAAACAUUAAACAAUAAAAGGAGGCCCUUCCACAAGACGUGUUUUAGUACGCAGCUCCAUAACAAGUGGGAAGGGAUAUAGCUGCCAUGUCACAAGGGGACACCAGCUGUAAGAAUGAAAAAUAUGCUCAUGUUUUGCAAAGUCAGGUAAGCAUGGUGUGAAGCCUU
rnacentral:lncRNA from 1 species